CCUACGGGGUGCAGCAGUGAGGAAUAUUGGUCAAUGGGCGGAAGCCUGAACCAGCCAAGUAGCGUGCGGGAUGAAGGCCCUACGGGUCGUAAACCUCUUUUGCACGGGGAUAACACCCUCCACGUGUGCAUGUCUGCAGGUACCGUGCGAAUAAGGGCCGGCUAAUUCCGUGCCAGCAGCCGCGGUAAUCCGGAAGGCCCGAGCGUUAUCCGGAUUCAUUGGGCUUAAAGGGAGCGUAGGCGGGCGUUCAAGGCAGCGGUAAAAUCGCGGGGCUCAACCGCGCCCCGCAGUUGAAACUGGAAGCCUUGAGUUCACAACAGGCAGGCGGAAUUCGUGGUGUAGCGGUGAAAUGCAUAGAUAUCACGAGGAACCCCGAUUGCGAAGGCAGCUUGCCGGGGUGCGACUGACGCUGAGGCUCGAAGGUGCGGGUAUCAAACAGGAUUAGAUACCCCUGUAGUC
rnacentral:rRNA from 1 species